rnacentral:other from 2 species
UGUUCCCUAGGGUGUUGGUACUUAGUUAAGUCCCUGAGCCGAUAAAUUUUAUGUUAGGGUUUCUGUUCGUCUGCUAUUGUGCAAGCUCGGCAUGUACCGAGAAGCCUACGGCAAACCGCAGAUUCCCGCCCUGAGACCUUCUGGUUUCAGGACUAAUACCGAGUACCGCAUACUUGGGGAACAC